CAGACUGACUGUGUGUGCAGGGGGCUCUCGCGGCAGCUCCCUCCCUCCCUCCCCCGCCCGUGAGUGUGUUCCAGGCGCCUCCAUGCGCCCAGGCUCUGCCGGGGGCUGUUUGUCAGGGAUCAAGAACAGCAAACAGUUCAGUUUACACUAAUUGAAGGGCUUGCUGAUUGUCUGACAUCAAUGCUUAUCUACAUUCACUGAAGGAAAGUAUUGGAUAGAUCAGGUUCUAACAGAUCACCCCACGUUAAGAAAAGCAAUUGAGUACCGAAGCGCUUCUAAACCUGAAGAAGGAAAGUAUCUCUUGCUUUUCAGAAUUACCAGAUGGGGCUUUUCACAUCCCUUUCAGAGCACUGAGGCUCACUGUUUGUACAAGUCUUCACUCUUGAGGCCCUGAAUCAUGUUCACCCAAUGAAGAAGACUUCAACAGAGGACUGGACAGGACUCAUUUGGAGAAAACCAAUUCUCUCUUCUUCAAUCAGCAAGAAAGGACAAAGUUGAGUAUGGGUUGAGGGACUCAGAAGUAGUUUGGGCUCUAGCUACAGUGACAAUCCUGAACUUUAAUCUAUGUUUAAUAGAUGUUUAUAUGAGAGAUACACUAUGAGAUCACACUAUCAGCCCAGCAAAAUCCAUGUUUCAAAGAUGGGGCAUAAAUAAUGAUGGAAGGUUGGCUUUGCUGUUUUACAUUCUCUUUUCCUUCAAGGACUGGUGUCCCAGACUCCAAAGCUCUUUUGGACUGGCCACUUUCCCUAUCUGCCCACCUAUCUUCUGACAUUUGUGUUCUGAUGAAGACCUUCCAAAACAUGGAUUUUUCUUGCCUGCCGUAAGCCACCUACCCAAACCUGUAAUGUUAAACAUCUCAGAGCUGGAUCUUUCACAAUGGUUCAUACUUUGUUCCAAAGUUCACCAGCCCUAAUGUUGACUCCCGUUCCCCUCUUUCCAAAAGCAAGGUGGAAUUGCUUCCACACCAUAUCACGCCCCUACCACUACAGGGCAGGAGAAAGCAUGAAGGAAAUCCAGCUUGACUUAUGGCAGUGCACCUAGUCAGCUCCACAAACAAAUAUUUUUAUAUUGAAUGAAAACACAAACCAAUCUUGGAAUUUGAUGGCCAUGCUGUUUGCUGAUUGUAUUCUAUAAUUUAGACAGGAGAUUGCAGUUUCAAGUUGGCAGAAUUCAACUCAAAAUGAAUUUGAUCCACUCAAAGAACAAAAUACCACUUAGUUUCUUAUAUGGCUAAACAUACAAAUCCAGUCUCCACAAAAUGAAAUGCUAAGCUAGAUUUUGGAUCAAUGUAAUACCUACUCCUGUUAAAUCACUUAAAAAGGAAAACAUCUACAAAGUGUCCCAUUAGGCUGACAAAUUUACAGCACUAUGAAUAGAAAAGCAGAACAAGGCAUUGUGUUUAAGGAGAAGGAAUGGAUUUUAAGUCUGUAGCAUUUCAGCUGUAUGACUAAGGUUAGAUAGCCUAUCACAUCUCUUCCUGCUGUUUAUACAGUUGCUGCAGAUGUGUACUAAGUGGCAAAAUAUGGCCAUUAUAGUACAUUAGCAAAGAAGUUGUGGAGUGAAUUAUAGGAAAUACUGUGGGACUGUAUUAAAGCAUUUGGGAGCAUAUUAUGUUAAUACUUGGAUUUGUACAUAUAUAAUUUGCAUUAAUGCUAAUGAUCAUUAUGAGAGAAAUCCUGCUCCCUCUGUCUCAUGCAUUCGCACGUAUGCCCUGAAAAAACCAGAGCCAUCGGCACUCUGCUGUGUGAAGUGGGCAGUCAGCUUGAAGGAGGCAGGCUAAUGGAACUCUCCCCCAUGUGUUAUUGAUCUCUGUUCAUUGGUAGCUCCCUGUAGCAACACAGACAGAGUUUUCUGGGCUUCGAACAUGGCCAGUGGAUUCAUGAACUACAUAGAGCAGGGGUUGGCAACGU